GAUGAAGAACGCAGCGAAAUGCGAUAAGUAGUGUGAAUUGCAGAAUUCAGUGAAUCAUCGAAUCUUUGAACGCACAUUGCGCCCCUUGGUAUUCCAUGGGGCAUGCCUGUUCGAGCGUCAUUUGUACCUUCAAGCUCUGCUUGGUGUUGGGUGUUUGUCUCGCCUCUGCGUGUAGACUCGCCUCAAAACAAUUGGCAGCCGGCGUAUUGAUUUCGGAGCGCAGUACAUCUCGCGCUUUGCACUCAUAACGACGACGUCCAAAAGUACAUUUUUAAACUCUUGACCUCGGAUCAGGUAGGGAUACCCGCUGAACUUAAGCAUAUCAAUAAGCGGAGGA
rnacentral:misc_RNA from 1 species